rnacentral:rRNA from 1 species
GGGAUAACUACUGGAAACGGUAGCUAAUACCGCAUAAUGUCGCAAGACCAAAGUGGGGGACCUUCGGGCCUCAUGCCAUCAGAUGUGCCCAGAUGGGAUUAGCUAGUAGGUGGGGUAAUGGCUCACCUAGGCGACGAUCCCUAGCUGGUCUGAGAGGAUGAUCAGCCACACUGGAACUGAGACACGGUCCAG